GAUGAAGAACGUAGCAAAAUGCGAUAAGUAAUGUGAAUUGCAGAAUUCAGUGAAUCAUCGAAUCUUUGAACGCACAUUGCGCCCGCUGGUAUUCCGGCGGGCAUGCCUGUUCGAGCGUCAUUUCAACCCUCAAGCCCCCGGGUUUGGUGUUGGGGAUCGGCUCUGCCCUUCUGGGCGGUGCCGCCCCCGAAAUACAUUGGCGGUCUCGCUGCAGCCUCCAUUGCGUAGUAGCUAACACCUCGCAACUGGAACGCGGCGCGGCCAUGCCGUAAAACCCCAACUUCUGAAUGUUGACCUCGGAUCAGGUAGGAAUACCCGCUGAACUUAAGCAUAUAAUAAGCGGAGGA
rnacentral:misc_RNA from 1 species